rnacentral:tRNA from 1 species
GCCGAUAGAGCUCCGCAGGUAGAGCGCUUCCUUGGUAAGGAAGAGGUCACCGGUUCGAAUCCGGUUAUCGGCU